rnacentral:rRNA from 1 species
UAGCAUAAUCACUUGUUUUUUAAUUGAGAACUGGAAUGAAUGGUUUAACAAAUAGAAGUGUCUUUUCUUAAAACAGGAAAUUGUGUUUCGGGUGAAAACACUUGAAUUUAAUUAAGGGACGAUAAGACCCUAAAAGCUUUAUUUUUGAUGAAAGGUUAUCUGUGUAGGUAUAAUAAGAACUUUUUGUUGUAUUUAGCUGGGGUAGCUAUACUACGUAAACUAGAAGGUAAACUAACAGUUACUAUUGGUCUAUGGUCCUGUAUAUACGGAUAAUUGGAGUUAGUUACUUUAGGGAUAACAGCGUAAUAUCCCUAGGGAGACCAUAUCUACAGGGAAGAUUGCGACCUCGAUGUUGAAUUAAAAGUUCUCUGGGUAGAAGAAGAUUCAGUAGAGGGUUUGUUCAACCCUUAAAAUUUUACAUGAUUU